rnacentral:rRNA from 1 species
ACGGGAGGCAGCAGUGGGGAAUAUUGGGCAAUGGGCGAAAGCCUGACCCAGCAACGCCGCGUGAGGGAAGAAGGUCUUCGGAUUGUAAACCUUUGUCUUAUGGGACGAUAAUGACGGUACCAUAGGAGGAAGCCACGACUAACUACGUGCCAGCAGUCGCGGUAAUACGUAGGUGGCGAGCGUUAUCCGGAAUUAUUGGGUGUAAAGGGUGCGUAGGCGGGAUGUAAAGUCAGAUGUGAAAUACCGCAGCUUAACUGCGGGGCUGCAUUUGAAACUUAUGUUCUUGAGUGCGGUAGAGGUAAGUGGAAUUCCCAGUGUAGCGGUGAAAUGCGUAGAUAUUGGGAGGAACACCAGUGGCGAAGGCGACUUACUGGGCCGUUACUGACGCUGAGGCACGAAAGUGUGGGGAGCAAACAGGAUUAGAUACCCUGGUA